rnacentral:rRNA from 1 species
AAUUAAUUCAACAUCGAGGUCGCAAACCUAAUUAUUAAUAAGAACUUACCAAUUAAAUUACGCUGUUAUCCCUAGAGUAACUAAUAAUAAUAAUCUUUUACUAUUCAAAAAUUUUCUUCUUCAAAAAUUGCCCCAAUUAAAAGUUUAUAAACUUCAAGCUUCUAGGGUCUUCUCGUCCCAAGAGUUUAUUAAAACAUUUUUAAUUUUAAUUUAAAUUCAAAAUCAUAAAAUAAAACAAUCCUCUUAGUAUCUACCAUUCAUCCCAGUUCCCAAUUAAAAAA